UAUAAUAUGGCAGAUUAGUGCUUUGGUUUUAAACACCAACUAUAAAGAUAUUAUCUUUUAUUAUAA
rnacentral:tRNA from 1 species